GCACAGCUUGGAAAUCCUUUCUUACCGCAAACGAGGUACUUCCCGGAGUGUCUGGUCCCCAAAUUUAUUUUCCUGUCAAGCAAUCACAUUUUCCUCGUGGCGCUUGAGUUGUUAAUACCCACUGUCUGCCCAGCUUUCUCCAAACGAAGGCCUUCGGCUCGUUCAGGUUGGUAUGUAAAGCUUUAGCGCUUGACUGAGAAUUAAUCUAAGACAGUGGCAUUGUGUCAUUUACUGGAACUAAAGCUUUUUUUUAAACCUUUAUCUGACUGUGAAAGGCACUCUGAAAUCUCCAGGGCUGAGGACAGCUAGAAGUGAGAAAUGAACACCCCAAAGCCAAGAGCUCAGAGCAGGAUCUCAGAAAACUUUGGCUAUAGCCAAAGCGAGCUGCAGACUGGGAUGCUUCACUUAUUUACUUGAAUGUCUGGACAUUCAAGUGCAUCCAUGGAUGGCUUUAACAGAACAGCUGUAUUGGAAAUUUGGAAAUUGUUUCUUCAUUUUCAUGUUUUUCCUUUAAGGUUUUUUUUUUGUCUAUUUUUAUUCAGUAUUCAGUGCUCGCCAGCUGCCUUUGACUCCACAAGAGAAGCUCAAUGAACACUGUUUUCCACUCGCAUCGUCUCUCCUUGCUAAAUGCUGUUGCCGUUCCCAUACUUUCAUGGCCGUGUAGCUGGUACUCUACACGCGGUGCCACUCACGGCUCUACUGUUAGACUUUUGGCAAGAGCAGGUUAGGUUUUAUAGGAGUGAGAAGGCAAGAGUGAGAGAGAGACUCUGAACCAAAGACAGUAUAAAAGGCCUUUUUUUUUGGAGUAGAAGCCCAACAAAAUGAUUAAGUAGCUCAAAGGGAAUAGAAAACUCUAGGCAAGAUGCUGAGCUGGGAGACAUCCCACUCCAGUGGUUAUUUGGCGCUUGUUGUAGCCCAGCUGUAUUCAGGAGCUCACCUCUUUCCUCCCACCCCUGAGUAAUGCACUUUUUCACUUCACUUUAGUUGUUUUCCUGUGCUGUCCAGUUUGGUGACUCUCUUUCAGAUGGGCUGGAUUCACUGUUACCCUUAAAUCCAGAUCAGCUGUCUGCCGAGUAACCAUAGCCCUCCUGCAGCCAGGAUUUACGGGCUCAAGGCAGGGACUGCUUGGUUAGAGCCUUCUGCAAUGCAGAAGUCUGGGGCAGAAAAUAACUCUCUAGUUCUUCAGCCUGGGAAGCAAAGGAAAGGAAUCAAAAAGUCACAUCCUGUGGUUUAGAGCUCGGGAAUAUAAGAAAAAAAUCACCCCUGAAAACGAAUCGCCUAAUCCCUGCGAUGUGGAUGUAUCCCACCUAAUAGUAGGUGGCGAACAGCUCGGGUCGGGCGGCCGGUGCCUGCGGCUCCUGCAGGCGUAUGGGAGCAGAGGGCUCCUGCGGCGGCCAAAUUGCCUCCCUCCUUCCCACCACCUCGUGGGGGCAACCUGGCUCCCAGCGUUGGCAUCUCAGUCCUGGCGUCGGGGUUGCCAAGGGAGGGGCUAGGCUCCAGGGAGCAGAAAUUUGCUUUCUAAACUAAAAAAGGACUUAGAAAGUUGAACCGUGAACGUCAAUUUUACCCAAAUCCUAUUCAAUUGGAGCUGCUGGAGCUUUAUGGCAUGCGAGUUCCUGAAGGCAACAGGGAGAGGUGAAGAGCUGUGAAAUUCUGAGAAGCUGGGAUUUGACUCCAAACUUUAUCGCAGGCCUCUGCGUCUGCAGCCGCCAGACCAGCGGCUUCUUGAUGUGAAAUCCCAAACUCGGAACGCGUCCGCCUCGCAGUGCUGAUGGCCGGUUGCGCUGCCAGGAACAGGCUCACUUUGUGCGAGUGCAGAAACAGCAGACGGCGGACGGGGGGCAAUGGAAAACAAGCUGGAGCAGUUUUGCACGUUCAUGAAAGUACAGUGAACAAGAAGGUCCAUCAGUCCCACCGUGGGGUUUGCAGCUGAGCACGGCGGCGUAAUCAUCACCUUCUGCAUCUGCACCCUGCCUCUGCCACAGACAACUGGCUGAUGCAGUUGCUUUCCCGGGAGGUUUCCAUGCUACGUAUGAGAAUGGAAAGUAGUUACAACAGCAAUGUUCAGUCUCAUCAAGAGGCCCAGGAGAAGCCCAACCUGCCUGGAGGCAGCGGAGCAGCCGGCGAUGGCACCGAGAGCGGCGUGAUGAGCUCCACCUGCUCCUGGCUGCCACCGCGGGCGCCCGGAGCA